rnacentral:rRNA from 1 species
UACAGAGGGUGCGAGCGUUGUCCGGAAUUAUUGGGCGUAAAGAGCUCGUAGGCGGUCUGUCGCGUCGGUCGUGAAAACCUGCAGCUUAACUGUGGGCGUGCGUCGAUACGGGCAUGACUGGAGUUCGGCAGGGGAGACUGGAAUUCCUGGUGUAGCGGUGAAAUGCGCAGAUAUCAGGAGGAACACCGGUGGCGAAGGCGGGUCUCUGGGGCCGAUACUGACGCUGGAGGAGCGAAAAGCGUGGGGGAGCGAACAGG